ACGCUGGCGGCACGCCUAACACAUGCAAGUCGAACGAAGUAGCAAUACUUAGUGGCAGACGGGUGAGUAACAUGUAGGUAUCUGCCCUUUGGCCUGGAAUAACACGAGGAAACUUGUGCUAAUACCGGAUAAGUCUUUACGGAGAAAGCUUUAUGCACCAUUGGAUGAGCCUGCACUUGAUUAGUUUGUUGGUGGGGUAAUGGCCUACCAAGACUGUGAUCAAUAGCUGAUUUGAGAGGAUGAUCAGCCACAUUGGGACUGAGACACGGCCCAAACUCCUACGGGAGGCAGCAGUGGGGAAUCUUGCACAAUGGAGGAAACUCUGAUGCAGCGAUGCCGCGUGAGUGAAGAAGGCCCUUGGGUUGUAAAGCUCUUUCGUCGGGGAAGAAAAUGACUGUACCCGAAUAAGAAGGUCCGGCUAACUUCGUGCCAGCAGCCGCGGUAAUACGAAGGGACCUAGCGUAGUUCGGAAUUACUGGGCUUAAAGAGUUCGUAGGUGGUUGAAAAAGUUGGUGGUGAAAUCCCAGAGCUUAACUCUGGAACUGCCAUCAAAACUUUUCAGCUAGAGUAUGAUAGAGGAAAGCAGAAUUUCUAGUGUAGAGGUGAAAUUCGUAGAUAUUAGAAAGAAUACCAAUUGCGAAGGCAGCUUUCUGGAUCAUUACUGACACUGAGGAACGAAAGCAUGGGUAGCGAAGAGGAUUAGAUACCCUCGUAGUCCAUGCCGUAAACGAUGUGUGUUAGACGUUGGAAAUUUAUUUUCAGUGUCGCAGGGAAACCGAUAAACACACCGCCUGGGGAGUACGACCGCAAGGUUAAAACUCAAAUGAAUUGACGGGGACCCGCACAAGUAGUGGAGCAUGUGGUUUAAUUCGAAGAUACGCGCAGAACCUUACCAACACUUGACAUGUUCGUCGCGACUCUAAGAGAUUAGAGUUUUCGGUUCGGCCGGACGAAACACAGGUGCUGCAUGGCUGUCGUCAGCUCGUGUCGUGAGAUGUUGGGUUAAGUCCCGCAACGAGCGCAACCCUCACUUUUAGUUGCCAUCAUUAAGUUGGGCACUCUGAAAGAACUGCCAGUGAUAAGCUGGAGGAAGGUGGGGAUGACGUCAAGUCCUCAUGGCCCUUACGUGUUGGGCUACACACGUGCUACAAUGGCAUCUACAACAGGAAGCAAAACGGCAACGUUAAGCAAAUCCCGAAAAGAUGCCUCAGUUCGGAUUGCACUCUGCAACUCGAGUGCAUGAAGCUGGAAUUACUAGUAAUCGUGGAUCAGCGUGCCACGGUGAAUGCGUUCCCGGGUCUUGUACUCACC
rnacentral:rRNA from 1 species